rnacentral:rRNA from 1 species
GAUGAACGCUGGCGGCGUGCCUAAUACAUGCAAGUCAAGCGAACGGACGAGAGGCUUGCUUCUCUGAUGUUAGCGGCGGACGGGUGAGUAACAAGUGGAUAUCCUACCUAUAAGACUGGGAUAACUUCGGGAAACCGGAGCUAAUACCGGAUAAUAUUGUGAACCGCAUGGUUCAAAAGUGAAAGACGGUCUUGCUGUCACUUAUAGAUGGAUCCGCACUGCAUUAGCUAGUUGGUAAGGUAACGGCUUAACAAGGCAACGAUGCAUAGCUGACCUGAGAGGGUGAGCGGCCAAACAGCAACUGAGACACGGUCCAGACUCCUACGGGAGGCCGCAGUAGAGAAUUUUGCGCUAUGGGCGAAAGCCUGACGGAGCAACGCAGCGUGAGUGAGGAAGGUCUUCGGAUCGUAAAACUCUGUUAUUAGGUAAGAACAUAUGUGUAAGUAACUGUGCACAUCUUGACGGUACCUAAUCAGAAAGCCACGGCUAACUACGU